GCAGGCUGCAACUCGCCUGCAUGAAGCUGGAAUUGCUAGUAAUCGCGGAUCAGCAAGCCGCGGUGAAUACGUUCCCGGGCCUUGUACACACCGCCCGUCACACCAUGAGAGUCGGGAACACCCGAAGUCCGUAGUCUAACCGCAAGGGGGGCGCGGCCGAAGGUGGGUCCGGUAAUUGGGGUGAAGUCGUAACAAGGUAUC
rnacentral:rRNA from 1 species